rnacentral:tRNA from 1 species
GAGGUGUUAGUAAAAAUAUUACAUAGUCUUGUCAAGACUAAAUUACAGGUUAAAGCCCAGUACACCUCA